AAAUGACCGAUGACGGAGAAAAGUAUGGCAGGCAUUUGCUAAAGCAGAGAGAUAGACCCUAGGGCUGAGAGGUUUAUCAAUAGUUGAAAUCGCCAGAAGGACACUCCAGAGGAUCUUUGCUGAAAAAGCCACCGUGCUUAGUAAGUAAAGACGUUGACAGGCGUUAACUGUUUUGAGUGGGGGAAUUUUUCCUCAAUUUAGGGUGGUACCACGGGUUAACUCUCGUCCCUUGU
rnacentral:ncRNA from 1 species